GACGAACCGUGCGAACGUUGUUCGGAAUCACUGGGCUUAAAGGGCGCGUAGGCGGCUCUCUUGGUCGUGGGUGAAAUCCCCCAGCUUAACUGGGGAAGGGCUUACGAUACCGGGGGGCUCGAGGGAGGAAGGGGCGGUCGGAACUGUCGGUGGAGCGGUGAAAUGCGUUGAUAUCGACAGGAACGCCGGUGGCGAAAGCGGACCGCUGGCCCUCUUCUGACGCUGAGGUGCGAAAGCGUGGGGAGCAAACAGG
rnacentral:rRNA from 1 species